GAGGAAGGCCCGUUGGGGGGACCCCAGGAAGUGACCUCACUUCCCUGGCGACAGAGGCCAACGGAACUUGGAAGCUGGGGAGCCGGGCACCUACUGGUCCAGUCCAGGAGAGGACGGAGGAGGGAUGGACUGGCUCUGCUGCAUCCCGCUCUCCCGAGGCCGAGGCCGAGGCCGAGGCCGCAGGCGUCGUCACGGCAGAGAUGGCCUCUGCCAAGCCUGCAGAACCUGGAUGAGAACGCGAGGCGGACGCCUAUGGGCCGUUGCCCGCAGGGACCCAGAGAGUCCCCCACCUGAGACCCGCCAGGAACAGGGUGAGGAAGGCAGAAGGCCACCCGAGGAACCUCCACACAGACUGCUCCCCGGGGUCCUCUGCCGGGCUGGUGGGGAGCACAGGAGCACCAGCUGUGGCCAUGAAGACACCGUCCACAUGAGCCUGACAACCCUGGAAGGCCUGGCACCCCCUGAGGCCCAGCCUGAAGCAGGAGACCUGGAAUCCGAGGCCAAGACGCCAGCCGAGCCGAAAGACCCUGGAGCAGCCCCCAGAGGAGGUCCAGAACCACAGGAGGACUCAGCACCCGGGCAGGGAGGACCUCUGGCUCUUUCAGAGGGACGCCCACGUCCUCAUGGGGACUCACCUCCCGGGGAGGAUGAACCCUCUGCUCCUCUCCCAAGAGGCCCAGCUCCUCUUGAGGAGUCAACACCCGGGCAGGGUGGAACCAAGGCGCCGCCUGCAGGAGGACCAGGCCCCCAUGAAGACUCAGCUCAUGGGCAGGAUCAACCUGCUGCUCCUCCUGAAGGAAGACCAGAGCCUCAUGAGGUCUCACCUCCCAGGCAGGAUGAAAAUCCUGCUCUUCCUACAGGAGGACGAGGCUCUCAGGAAGACUCAGCAGCCGGGCAGGAUGAAAAUCCUGCUCCUCCUCCUGGAGGACGAGGCUCUCAGGAUGUCUCACCAGCCGGGAAGGAUGAACAUUCUGCUCCUCCUACAGGAGGACAAGGCUCUCAUGAGGACUCAGUAGCCGGGCAGGAUGAAAAUCCAGCUCCUCCUACAGGAGGACCAGGCUCUCAUGAGGACUCAAGAGCCGGACCCGAUGAAAAUCCUGCUCCUCCUGCUGGACUACGAGACUCUCAUGAGGACUCACUAGCUAGGCGGGAUGAAAAUCCUGUUCCUCCUCCUGAAGGACGAGGCUCUCAUGAUGUCUCACCAGCCGGGCAGGUGGAACAUCCUGCUCCUACUACAGGAGAACGAGGCUCUCAUGAGGACUCACCAGCUGGGCAGGAUGAAUACCCGGCUCCUCCUACAGGAGGACGAGGCUCUCAUGCAGAUGCACUGGCCCUGCCGGAUGAAUAUCCUUCUCCUCCUCCUGGAGGACGAAGCUCUCAUGAGGACUCAUCAGCCG
rnacentral:lncRNA from 9 species